ACCUGGCUGGCUCAGUUGGUGGAGCAUGUGACUCUUGAUCUCAGGGUUGUGAGUUCCAGCCCCAUGUUGGGUG
rfam:Felis catus isolate Cinnamon breed Abyssinian chromosome X, whole genome shotgun sequence.